CCUAUUCUCCGAGCUCUGGGAGCUUCCCUCCCCUUUUCCCUAGCCAUGGCCGCCGCUCCUGCCGCUCGCAGGCCUCUCCCCUCCAGGCCACCCCGAGCUCCCUGGCAAGCACCCUUGGGCGCAGAAUGGUGCGGUGGGUCCGUCCAUCUCGCAGGCGGGAGCAGCCGAGUGGGGAAACACCGACAUCGAGAGAGGGCAGCCGGGCCUCCUCUGCUUCGGUCGCGAGGAAGGAGAAGACCCAGGGAGGAGGAGAGAGGAAGAUAAAGUGGUGCCCUCCUCUAAGCCUCUAGGGAGUUGACCAGCCCCGGACCCGUGCGUCAGCUAGAGAGAGAGGGAGAGAGUCAACCUGGCCCGUCGUCAGGUUAAGUGGAAACGCACUGCAAUAAAUACGCUUUCAGUUACUGUGGCUAAGUUUACGUUUUCCCUUUCGGAAAACGUAUUCCGGCUGAGUGCACUUUCGUGUCAGCCCCCAGGGGCCUGUCUGUGAGUAUUUUAUUUGCAGAUUGGUCCCUAGACUUCAAAUGCUUGUAUCUUUUUGCUCGAGACUCCGAUUGGGGUGAUUCCAAAGCCCUCGUCUUUGUCUUGUCGAGCCCGUCAUGAUAGUAUCAUUUUAAAAAGGUUGUGACACAGUGAAAAUGACCCU
rnacentral:lncRNA from 1 species